CACCACUCAAGCCUGGCUUGGUAUUGGGUCCACGGGGGCGACCCGGACCUCAAAAUGUCGGCGGGAAAGUCUGGAUCUCAGCGUUGUGGCAAUCAAAACCGCUGGCGAGAUGGGCUCUCCGUGCCGUUAAACCUUCAUCAAA
rnacentral:misc_RNA from 1 species